CCCCAUCGAUACUGCCGAUCACUCGUCCUUUUUGCUUCAGGCACAGGCCUCAAAAUCCAAGGUUGUUGCUGUUGCCGGCUCCGGAACAACGUUCAUCAACGCUGUCAAGUCGGCCAAAGAUUUCGGUCUUACCGACGGAGGAAAGCAAACCAUUGCCGGGUUGCUGGUCUGGAUCACCGAUAUCGACUCAAUGGGUCUAU
rnacentral:misc_RNA from 1 species